CGCGCUUCUCCCACCACAGCCACUCCCAACCCUGUGGGUCGGGUCGCUUUGCGCGAGUGCCGGAAGCGGAAGUUGCGAAGACGUGGGGGAGUUCUUGGGGGAGAGUCGAGUUAUCCUAGCGUUCGGUGUGUUCGCUCUGCGGCAGCCUGAGCAUCAGGUAAAGCGCAGUUGUGAGACUUCGGCAGCCCUGCUCCCUGGCUCAAGCCGGAUCCCGACCCCGAACCCUAGCCUGAGGGGUGUGGUGCUCGGUGCUCCGACUCUUUCCUAGGGUCCUGGUGGAGGUACCGGGAGUCACUUGUCCUUCCCUUGGAGUGAGGCCCCCCGUCCGGCUUCCCGGUGUCCCCGUAGACCUCCGCCAUGGGCAACACGAGCAGCGAGCGCGCUGCGCUGGACCGGCAGGGCGGCCACAAGACGCCCCGAGGGGACAGCUCGGGGGGCUCCAAGGAUGGGGACAGGCCCAAGAUCCUGAUGGACAGCCCCGAGGACGCUGACCUCUUCCACUCCGAGGAAAUCAAGGCUCCGGAGAAGGAGGAGUUCCUGGCCUGGCAGCACGAUGUGGAAGUGAACGACAAAGCUCCUGCCCAGGCUCGGCCAACCGUGUUUCGAUGGACGGGGGGCGGAAAGGAAGUUUACUUAUCUGGGUCCUUCAACAAUUGGAGUAAACUGCCCCUCACAAGAAGCCACAAUAACUUCGUAGCCAUCCUGGACCUGCCCGAAGGAGAGCAUCAGUACAAGUUCUUCGUGGAUGGUCAGUGGACACACGACCCUUCUGAGCCGAUAGUGACCAGCCAGCUUGGCACAGUAAACAACGUCAUUCAAGUGAAGAAAACUGACUUUGAAGUAUUUGAUGCUUUGAUGGUGGAUUCUCAAAAGUGCUCCGAUGUGUCUGAGCUGUCCAGUUCCCCCCCAGGACCCUACCACCAGGAGCCCUACGUCUGGAAGCCAGAGGAGCGGUUUAAAGCACCACCCAUCCUCCCGCCGCAUCUUCUCCAGGUCAUCCUGAACAAGGACACGGGGAUUUCCUGCGAUCCAGCUUUGCUCCCUGAGCCCAACCACGUCAUGCUGAACCACCUCUAUGCACUUUCCAUCAAGCAACACAAAAGGAAGUCCCCCGUGGUCCAGAAGACUGCUAACAGACCCAGGUGAAAGUCUUUAUACCCAAGAAGCUAAAAGUAAUGGAGAUUAUUUCAUGGAUAUGGAACAGGAGACCCUGUUUGGUCCAAAUCACAGAAGCAAAGCCACACUGAGGUGUCCUAUGACCCAGCUCAAAAUGUGGAAAUUCCAACAACCCACGCUCAGAAAGCCAGAACUUUCUUGUGUGUGCAGCAGUAAAAUUUGAGAUAAACCUUGAUUUCAAGAGGUCGAAAUCUGAGCUAUCUUCAUCUCUUGUCAUGUGGCUUUGUGAUACAGAAGACAAAAAAAGAAAUUUCAAGUAAGAGUAUCAUGUUAAGCCGAUUUGUAAUGGAAGAGAAAUUAUAAAGCGUGUCAGGGGCCCAUCGUAAAGCAAGCUCACUGCCCAGAGGAAGAAAAGUGACUCAAGGAAGGCCAUUCGAGAAGUCAGCUUAGGUUGACGGGAUAAAGGAAAACUCGUCAUUCUGGGCAGAGCGGGCCAUUUUCCAUCUCCAAAUCCCUUAAUAACCAAUGCUCUACCACAUCAAUUUUAUGUUUGUUUCUUGCAGAGAGUUACAUUUCCUGCUCUGCUAAACAAACAGACCGGGGCAGUGCAGCCUGCAGUGAAUCACAUUCUCCCAAGCUGGCCUUCUACAUUCUGGACCUGCCCAAAGCAGACAGCAACAAAAAGUUGCGGUUUUAUAAGCCAAGAGACAACUAAAGGAAACUGCUGGUUUUCCAGACAUGCCUGGCAUCAGCAGGAAAACAACAGCAUUAUUUCUGCCCCUUGUUCACAGGAACUAGAACCAUUUUCCACGACAGAAUAAGUUAACUCCUUACAGAGACACCAUAUCAUCUCAAAAGGAAGAUGCCUGGCCAUCUAACUAGUGAGGCAGUGGAGAAAAGAAAGAAAAAAAUCUAAUUACAGUACUUGGGCUGGUUCUUGGCAUGACUGACUUGGAAACUAAAUAAAAUCUAGACAUUGUCAGGAGAGGACUACAGCCCUUUGAGCAGUCACUCCUGAGGCAGGAUCAAGCCAAAAAGUGAGAAGCAGCUGGUUCUUCAGCACUUCUGGUUUUCCAGCAAGUUCCUGGGACUAAAAUCACACUGACCAAACAUUUCUGACCAACACUUACAUUUCAACAAAAGAAACAGACACUAUUCGUUAGGACAUAGUCUCAGAACAUUAAAUUGACAACUCUCUUUUCUAAGAUCUAAGCAGCAUUUCAUAACAUUAGAGGUGGUUCCUUUACCAAACUGAGUCCCUUGAGAAUAAAAACCAUCUUGUAGCCCCAGACAUUGUGUCUGGCACAUGGUAGGGGGUCCACAUAACUAUUUAUAGGGUAGACAUGUGGGGUUUGUAAACCAGUCCACAAAAUUAAAACCCUAGGUCAAUUAAAUAAUAUUCCCCUGGGUUAAAUAAGCUUAUCUCCUUUGUGGACCAGGAUCUUAAAAUUACACAUCUCAGACCUACACAUCUAACCGAAUCUGGCUCCGGGCCCUGGGUGUCAAGACAAAGCCAGUCCCACUUCCACACACUGCUGGUGGGAUAACUAAAGGGUACAGCCUCUAGGGAGGAAAACUCACCAACAUCUAUCAAAAUCACCAACGCCCAUCAAUUCCUUUUCUAGGAAUUCAUCCUCCAGAUAGAUUCCUAAGCAUGCAAAAUGAAUGUACAAAGUCAUUUACUACAGCAACAGACUGGAAACAACCCAAACAUCCACUGAUAAAGGAGCAGUUAAAUAAGGUAUAGUCAUGUGAACGAAUGCUAUGCAGGUGUUUAAAAAAAAAAAAAAAUGAAUACUUUGGAUACUGACAUGGAGCAAUCUCUAAGACAC